rnacentral:rRNA from 1 species
AUGAACGCUGGCGGCGUUCCUAAUACCUGCAAGUCGAGCGAACGGACGAGAAGCUUGCUUCUCUGAUGUUAGCGGCGGACGGGUGAGUAACACGUGGAUAACCUACCUAUAAGACUGGGAUAACUUCGGGAAACCGGAGCUAAUACCGGAUAAUAUUUUGAACCGCAUGGUUCAAAAGUGAAAGACGGUCUUGCUGUCACUUAUAGAUGGAUCCGCGCUGCAUUAGCUAGUUGGUAAGGUAACGGCUUACCAAGGCAACGAUGCAUAGCCGACCUGAGGGGGUGAUCGGCCACACUGGAACUGAGACACGGUCCAGACUCCUACGGGAGGCAGCAGUAGGGAAUCUUCCGCAAUGGGCGAAAGCCUGACGGAGCAACGCCGCGUGAGUGAUGAAGGUCUUCGGAUCGUAAAACUCUGUUAUUAGGGAAGAACAUAUGUGUAAGUAACUGUGCACAUCUUGACGGUACCUAAUCAGAAAGCCACGGCUAACUACGUG